CAAACCGGUUUCUGGCCGAAGCUCGCGUGGGUUCGAAUCCCACUUUGG
rnacentral:tRNA from 12 species